GACGAACGCUGGCGGCGUGCUUAACACAUGCAAGUCGAACGGAAAGGCCCUGCUUUUGUGGGGUGCUCGAGUGGCGAACGGGUGAGUAACACGUGAGUAACCUGCCCUCGACUUUGGGAUAACUUCAGGAAACUGGGGCUAAUACCGGAUAGGAGCUCCUGCUGCAUGGUGGGGGUUGGAAAGUUUCGGCGGUUGGGGAUGGACUCGCGGCUUAUCAGCUUGUUGGUGGGGUAGUGGCUUACCAAGGCUUUGACGGGUAGCCGGCCUGAGAGGGUGACCGGCCACAUUGGGACUGAGAUACGGCCCAGACUCCUACGGGAGGCAGCAGUGGGGAAUAUUGCACAAUGGGCGGAAGCCUGAUGCAGCAACGCCGUGUGCGGGAUGACGGCCUUCGGGUUGUAAACCGCUUUCGCCUGUGACGAAGCGUGAGUGACGGUAAUGGGUAAAGAAGCACCGGCUAACUACGUG
rnacentral:rRNA from 1 species